UAAACGGCCCUUUUUAGGGCCACAAAUUUAUUUAUACGUUGAUUUU
rfam:Atta colombica isolate Treedump-2 unplaced genomic scaffold scaffold126, whole genome shotgun sequence.